AUCGUAACGCGUCUCACCGUAUGCCACAGUAAUAAUAUUAUAUAUAUCGACGACGAUUGUUCGCGAAAAAUAGGAUACUAUCCCCGCUGAGUAGACGACUAACUUCUAUGCUUGCAAAAUAAAAAAAAAAUUUUCCUUCGCGUAUUAUUCGUUCACGCACAGCAUAUAUUUUAAAAACUAUAUUGUGUGUACAACGCACACCGUUCGGUCGGUUUUGCGUGUAAACAGACAAUAAUAAUAAUAAUAAUAAUAAUAAAAUUAUCUUGCCGUGUAUGCAGAAAAUUACAAACAGAAUAGACAUACGGAGCGGCGGUACUACCCGACGUUUGCAGCGGAACGUACAGCACUUGUGCGGCAGUAUAAUAGCACAGUGCAGUGCUGGCCUGACGCGCGCGCGCGCGAGAAAAACGAGCGUGGCGAAAAACGUGCGCGUACGACUGGUUCGAAAAAACGGAGCGCGGCGACCCGGGCCACUGUGUUCUACCACCACGAUCAGCCGGCCGGCCACCGACGCUGUAGCGGCGGCGGCAUUUCCUUCUCCCGACCGGCACGAAAACAAGAGCAAGGGAGGGGCUGGCCGACGAACCAGGGGACGAAAGCGACGCGCGACCGGUCCCACGUAGACAUCAACAAUAUGAUAAUUCAAUAUACAAUAUUAUAUUAUUAUGUUUGGUCCCGAUCGACUUUGACCGGGUAACCAACCACCUACGAGAUCAGCACUGCAACGAACGCGGCGCAGCGUCAAAGGUCAAUGACGAAUACAUUUUCAUUUAUUUAUUAUAGUGAGGCAACUCGGGUACACACUAUAUAUGUAUGUUUAUAAUAUAUAUAAACGGCGAACUUUAGAACCGAAUACAAUUGGGCAUCAAGUUCCCAGUCCUUCUUGAAGUAUAUAAUUUUGAUGGUAAACUUGCUGAAUAUUUUAAUCAUGAAAUGUAAGAUAUCAACAAAACUACGGGAGAAUAGUGAUCGUAUAAGUUAUUUUAAUCCAUCAUCCAUUGGCCACAGAAAAAAUGACUUAUAAUUUAAAAAUAAAUAAAUAAUAAAAUAAAAAUACUGCAAUAAAAAAAACUUGUAAAUAAGUCUACCUAACAGAUUUUAGGAUAUUUAUUUUUAGCCUGAUAUCACUGUUAAAGUAUUAAGUAAUAUGGAAGAUGACAGUUUACAUAUUGAAAUUAUUUAAGGUGCACGUGGUAUUUUUAACAUGCUUCAAAAAAGUUGUUUUAAAUUGAUAAAUGAUUUGAGAUAAUAUGUAGAAAACUAUACAGCUAUAUGCAUGUAUGUAAUUUACUCAUUGAACGAACCUUUAUGUUCAAAAAGAAGAACAACUAUAUCGAACGACACGGACUUGUCGAUGAGCAUUCCGAACACAUGAAAAUAAUAUUACAAUUUAUAAUACUAUGCCGGAGGUUUGUGAAUACGGGGAUUAAAAUCGAUCACGCGAUAUAAACACUGCCGUAAGCAUAAAAUAACGGCGGUAGUGGUACGUGCAGCUGUAUUUCUUACACAAACAAUAACUGACAUAUAAUAUAUUAUUAUAAUUAUUUAUAUAUAAUAUAUUUUUAUUAGAGUGCAAGACACGGUAAUAGUCACACAGGUCAAAUCCGUAAAAAUUAUGUAACCAGCAUGUAAUAUUUAUAGGUAAUAAUGGUAAACAAUCGCCCUUUAUAAAAGUAAGUCUAUUUAGUGAAUAAAUAAAAAAGGUCCAACAAGCGCGACAACGUAAGUGGAGCAACCAAUAGCGAGAAGAAAACUACGAUUGAUGAACUGUUGGUGAACUGUCAAUAAACUAUAAUAUAAAUCAAUAUCAUAACCAUACGCAAUAAGCCUAUAGGCUAUAAUACGAUGUAUAGAUAAUAUAAUAUGAAUAAUAUUAAUAAUAAUAUGAUAUUAUAAUAAAUAAUAUCUACAUAUUUACGCGAUGACCGUCACGGUAACGUAGUAACAACUAGAUGCAUAAGCAUUCGUGGUUUUAUUCUGGAAUAGUAGAAUACGAUAUAUUAUACGUAUAGUACUAUAGUACAUACACGGAUUGUAAUUUGCAACGAAUACCUACGGCCCACGGCUACAGGAUAAAGAAUCAAUAACAGAAUUAGAUCUUCGCGAACGACAAGUCAUAUAAAUAAUAAAGGAAAGACGAGCUCUUAAUAUCUGUGAUCGAUAGCCAUCAAUGAUGAUGUGUUCCCCCUACCGUUCCAAAAACCUACAAACCAUCAAUACAAAAACCUACAGUACCUACUAAUAGCUAAUGGCCACAGUUGCCGGGCUCAGGAUCAAUUAGAAAAAAAAAAAAAAAGUAUAGAUGUAUGUAUAUUGUAUGUGAUAUUACGUAAACAUCAAUAAACGACGACAGCAGAGGAGAAGCAUUGUUCACCAGAGCCUUCUAUGAUGUCGGUUAAAACAAGAAAAAAAGGUAUAGGAGAUGUGUUACCAUUUUAGCAGUAAAUCUAAUUAUAGUAUUAUUUAAUUUAUUUACAAUUGCGUACUGGCUCCAGCGUCAAAGGCAAUACGGAUAAUUAUUUUAGUUGUAGCACCAUAAGUAACUAUAAGUGUAGAAAGGACACGAAUUACGUUAUCAAUAUUUUUUAACUUAAGGGGUAGUUUCGAAACAGGUGAAUUGCACUCUUAAUAUACAUAGGAAAAUGCAGUGGCGUACCCAGGAUUGUACUUCAGCCCAGCUCAUGAAACGUCUGUGUAUAGGAAACCAACUCGAUUCGCUCGCAAUAUAAUUUAUUUAUUUCAUAUUUCAAUACCAACAUAACUCAUUUACAUAUGAAACAAAAGUAAGUUUUACAAACUUACACAAAAACCACAUUAAGAAUUUGUAUUAUUUGCAUUAAUAUUAUUGAAAUAUUCAAAAAAAUCACCAAGUUAAAAUGCAGGUAUACACAAACAGAUUGGCAGUCCGCAGAAAUCAAAAAAAUGUAAUGGCCAUGAUUAAAACAAAACUACUAAUUAUAAUAAAUCGCAAUUAUUAGUAAAUUGGUGUACAUUUUCUAAUAUUUCUAAUUGUAUAUCUUUCAUAAAAGAAACACUAAUACCUACAAUCUAUACAUAGUACAUUAUAAUAUUAUGGAAAUAGCAAUAGCAAUUGAUAUUAAUGUAUUACUAUUAUUACGAUUUGAGAGGCUAGUAUACAAUUUUAGGAUGAUUAUUAUUGUACAAUAAAUCAAUUGUUCAAAUAAAAUUAAAUUCGAGUUAGAAUAUGGAUAAUGCGAAUUAUACUUGUAAUCAAUACUGAUUUUUGAAUCAAAAUAAAUAUUUUUAAUGUUAGGUACCUACACAAUAAAUGAAAAUUGUAUUUGAUAUCAUAUAUUUCUCAGCAUUGUCAAUUAUUUUUCAUUACAUAUAUAUAUAUAUCAUUCAGAUACACAACUCCAAAAAGUAAUACACGUGUGAUAUAUGUACGUUAUAAACAAUUACACUUAAUGUUUUAUCUUUAUAUAUACUUCCGACCAAAAGUUUUUACACACGGAAUUUAAAAAAAAAAUAUUUUGAAUUCCUCAAUUUAACUGCCAAUUACAUUACCUAUUCAUUAUGUUUUAUCCUUGUUUGUUUUUUGUGCCUCGUGGUAGGUAUAUUUGGUUACAACUACUAAUUAGUCAGGUGAGUUUCGUUUGAUUUUGUCUUAACUUUGACAUUAUAUUUGAACUAUUCGUUGCAACAUUAAAAAAUGACCUUUUUUCUUAUCACAGCAGGUCAUACUCCUCCCCUAUGGCCAUAUAAUAGUGGCGAUUGGUGAAUACGGAAUGGCGCCCGAGUACUCGCGACGUGUUUUACUGUCGUUAUGCAACAGGUGUACGUGUAAAAUAAUAAUAAUAACAGUUGUAGUGGGUAUUGUGUAAGCUCACUGCGGGCUACGACGGCGACGGUCUGCGGGAAGAGAUAAAGUGAAACAUUGUGAGAAGGUGGGAGAAAGAGAGGGGCGGGAGUGGAGAGUAAAGAUAAUGAGUACCGAGGGGGGGAGUGAGGAGGCGUAUUAGUGUAUUACCGAGAGAU